UCCGUAGGUGGAUCAAUAAGUCAGAGGUGAAAUCCUGCAGCUUAACUAUAGAACUGCCUUUGAUACUGUUGAUCUUGAGUCAUUAUGAAGUGGUUAGAAUGUGUAGUGUAGCGGUGAAAUGCAUAGAUAUUACACAGAAUACCGAUUGCGAAGGCAGAUCACUAAUAAUGUACUGACACUGAGGGACGAAAGCGUGGGGAGCGAACAGGAUUAGAUACCCUGGUAGUCC
rnacentral:rRNA from 1 species